rnacentral:rRNA from 1 species
GAUGAACGCUGGCGGCGUGCCUAAUACAUGCAAGUCGAGCGAACAGACGAGGAGCUUGCUCCUCUGACGUUAGCGGCGGACGGGUGAGUAACACGUGGAUAACCUACCUAUAAGACUGGGAUAACUUCGGGAAACCGGAGCUAAUACCGGAUAAUAUAUUGAACCGCAUGGUUCAAUAGUGAAAGACGGUUUUGCUGUCACUUAUAGAUGGAUCCGCGCCGCAUUAGCUAGUUGGUAAGGUAACGGCUUACCAAGGCAACGAUGCGUAGCCGACCUGAGAGGGGGAGCGGCACCAGUGGAACAGCGACACCGUCGAGACACAUACGGGAGGCAGCAGGAGGGAAUAUUCCGCAAUGGGCGAAAGUCUAACGGAGCAACGACGCGUGAGUAAUAAAGGUCUUCGGAGCGUAAAACUCUGUUAUUAGGGAAGAACAAAUGUGUACGUAACUAUGCACGUCUUGACGGUACCUAAUCAGAAAGCCACGGCUAACUAC